rnacentral:rRNA from 1 species
CAAUAGCGUAUAUUAAAGUUGUUGCGGUUAAAAAGCUCGUAGUUGGAUUUCUGAUCGAGACAUCAGGUCGGGUCCGAGAGGAUCAUGUACUUUGAUUUUGUUUUGAUCAUCCUUGGGGAGAGCAUUUCUGGCAUUCAGUUGUCGGGAUUGGGAUCCUCAUCGUUUACUGUGAAAAAAUUAGAGUGUUCAAAGCAGGCCUCGGCCUCUGAAUACAUUAGCAUGGAAUAAUAAGAUAGGACUUUGGUGGUCUAUUUUGUUGGUUUGCACGCCAAAGUAAUGAUUAAUAGGGAUAGUUGGGGGUAUUCGUAUUCAAUUGUCAGAGGUGAAAUUCUUGGAUUUAUGGAAGACGAACUACUGCGAAAGCAUUUACCAAGGAUGCUUUCAUUAA